GUAGAGUGUCUUCUGAUUGAAAACUGUUAGAAGCAAACUUAUCAAUUUCAUCCUCAUGCUAAACCCUUAAAUCAAUAUCUUAUCAAUGGUGCAGCCAAUAUAAACAAGAAUGCAAGAACAUGUAGAUUCAUGUGUGAUUCAAGGAUUUACAUUUAAGAAACCACCAGACAAAACACAUUUGCAGGCCCUCAUACCCAUGUUGUCAGGACUGAACUGGUCAGAGCAAGUUUAACUGGGAAGCAGACCAAUAGAUGGUCCUGUAUGGUAAUCAACCCUUUAUAUCUAAGGAGUUGGUAUUAACCUGUUGAACCUGUCAACAUAUUCCCAGUUUAAUUGGUUAACAGGGUAAACGAUGGUGCGAGGGCAGGCUUAAGAAAAAACCCAUACGUGUUGUGGAAGAGUUACACUACAGAUUCCAUUUGGCCUAGCACUAAAUUCUG
rnacentral:misc_RNA from 1 species